rnacentral:rRNA from 1 species
GUGGGGAAUCUUGCACAAUGGGCGAAAGCCUGAUGCAGCCAUGCCGCGUGAAUGAUGAAGGCCUUAGGGUUGUAAAAUUCUUUCGUCAGGGAUGAUAAUGACCGUACCUGAAGAAGAAGCCCCGGCUAACUUCGUGCCAGCAGCCGCGGUAAUACGAAGGGGGCUAGCGUUGUUCGGAAUUACUGGGCGUAAAGCGCACGUAGGCGGACUUUUAAGUCAGGUGUGAAAUCCCGGGGCUCAACCUCGGAACUGCAUUUGAAACUGGAAGUAUUGAGAUCAGGAGAGGUUAGCGGAAUACCGAGUGUAGAGGUGAAAUUCGUAGAUAUUCGGUGGAACACCAGUGGCGAAGGCGGCUAACUGGACUGAUACUGACGCUGAGGUGCGAAAGUGUGGGGAGCAAACAGGAUUAGAAACCCCAGUAGUCC